ensembl:misc_RNA Metazoa_SRP Metazoan signal recognition particle RNA
GCCAGGUGUGGUGGCGCACGCCUGUAAUCCCAGAUACUCAGGAGGCCGAGGCAGAAGAAUUGCUUGAGCCUAGGAGGCAGCGGUUGCAGUGUGCUGAGAUCGUGCCACUGUGCUCUAGCCUGGGCGACAGAGCAAGACUUUGUCUCAA